rnacentral:rRNA from 1 species
AUUGAGCGCUGGCGGCAUGCCUUACACAUGCAGGUCGAACGGCAGCGGGGGAGAAGCUUGCUUUUCCUGCCGGCGAGUGGCGAACGGGUGAGUAAUACAUCGGAACGUGCCCUGUAGUGGGGGAUAACUAGUCGAAAGAUUAGCUAAUACCGCAUACGACCUGAGGGUGAAAGUGGGGGACCGCAAGGCCUCAUGCUAUAGGAGCGGCCGAUGUCUGAUUAGCUAGUUGGUGGGGUAAAGGCCUACCAAGGCGACGAUCAGUAGCUGGUCUGAGAGGACGAUCAGCCACACGGGGACGGAGACACGGCCCAGACUCCUACGGGAGGCAGCAGUGGGGAAUUUUGGACAAGGGGCGAAAGCCUGAUCCAGCAAUGCCGCGUGUGUGAAGAAGGCCUUCGGGUUGUAAAGCACUUUUGUCCGGAAAGAAAUGGCUCUGGUUAAUACCUGGGGUCGAUGACGGUACCGGAAGAAUAAGGACCGGCUAACUACGUGCCAGCCGCCGCCGUAACAC